GAUGAACGCUAGCGGGAGGCCUAACACAUGCAAGCCGAGCGGUAUUGUUUCUUCGGAAAUGAGAGAGCGGCGUACGGGCGCGUAGCACGUGUGCAACCUGCCUUUAUCUGGGGGAUAGCCUUUCGAAAGGAAGAUUAAUACUCCAUAACAUAUUGAACGGCAUCGUUUAAUAUUGAAAGCUCCGGCGGAUAGAGAUGGGCACGCGCAAGAUUAGCUAGUUGGUGAGGUAACGGUUCACCAAGGCGAUGAUCUUUAGGGGGCCUGAGAGGGUGAUCCCCCACACUGGUACUGAGACACGGACCAGACUCCUACGGGAGGCAGCAGUGAGGAAUAUUGGUCAAUGGGUGCAAGCCUGAACCAGCCAUCCCGCGUGAAGGACGACUGCCCUAUGGGUUGUAAACUUCUUUUGUAUAGGGAUAAACCUACCCUCGUGAGGGUAGCUGAAGGUACUAUACGAAUAAGCACCGGCUAACUCCGUGCCAGCAGCCGCAGUAACAC
rnacentral:rRNA from 1 species